GGAGAUAUAGUGUAGUGGUUAUCACUCCGGAUUCUGAAUCUACACAUUAAUUCCGGCAACCCCGGUUCGACUCCGGGUAUCUCCU